GGCAAACAGAGGUUGAGGAGAAGGAGCGGGGAGGAGGAGAAGAGAAGGUCAGGAUUAGGGUGAGGGGAGCCAAGAAGACCACACACACAGACCGCCAUAGGAGAGGUUCUCCUGGGGCUGGGGGCGACGUCUUCGGUUCCCGAGCCUGCGGGGAGCACCUGCUUUGUGCCCAGCACUGGGGAUACAGCGAAUAAGACCUGCUCCUUGCCCUGGGGCCUGGGUGGGGACAUAGUGCUCCUCUUUGAGGAGUUCCCUUUGCAUGCCCCCCCCCCCCACACUACCACCACCAAAGGCUACACCAGGAGUGGCCUUGAAGUGCCCAUCUCACUUUCCAGACCUUUUGGGCUCUUUCGCCCACCUCCCAUUAGAAGGCCUGGGUCCCAUGUCCCGUGUGGAUAAAGCCCAGUGUACAGAAGUGGGGGCAUUCUUUGCUGACAGCGGCAUGCAGCUGUUAAGGUGACAUGUUGAUCAGAGGCGUGGAGUGGCAUUGACGGGGACUGGUUCCUUUCCUCCACUUAGUUGUGUGACCUUGGGCAAGUCCCCUGCCCCUGUCUCAGUGUCCUCAUCUGUGGAAUAAACUUAUAAAGUCUACUGCCCCUUGCCUCACAGGGCGUUGUGAGGAUCAAAGGAAGUCGUAUGGAGGAGGAUGGAAAUGGCGGGCUUGCCCAGGUGUGCACCAUGCUUUUGACGUGCUUCUUGUACCCCAAUCAAACAGCCUUCCCUCGGCACCUUGAAUAGCAGUGUGUUAGGGGUUAUAUGGCUUCAUUCUCCCUGUUAGGCACCCAGGGGUGCUGAGGGGCUGGCUGGCCUCACGGGUGACCCAGUAAAGCGUUCUCCCCACCCAAAUGUGGUUUUACUCUCUGGUUGCAACAGUUCUCUGGAAAAUAAUAGUUGUUCACAGAUGUUCAUUACAGUGUUAUUAAUAAUAGCCCAAGAAAAGGUAUUCUUCACUAUAAUCCCCAAGCCCCAAUGCAUACAAGCACUCAAGAAAUGCUUAAGCAGACCCCACCUCCACCUCUCCCAUGCCCCCUUUUGUGGUCGUGGGAUAAACCCCUCCCCCACCGAAUAAGGGCUGGGUGAGGAGUUGGGGCAAGAGCCACCGGGACCCCAGAACCUGAGAGUCAAAAAUUGUCUUUCACAUGGGUCCAGCCUGGUGGUGUAGUGGUUUGUUCCACACACUCCACUUCGGCUGCAGGGGGUUCGCUGGUUCAGAUCCCGGACACAGACACACACCACUCAUCAAGCCAUGCUGUGUUGGCGUCCCAUAUACAAAAUGGAGGAAGAUUGGCAUAGAUGUUAGCUCAGAGACAAUCUUCCUCAUCAAAAAAGAAAAAAAAGUCUUUCACAAGGCCGGCCCCAUGGCCUAGUGGUUAAAUUCGGGCGCUCUGCUUUGGCGACCUGGUUUGGUUCCUGGGUGUGGACCUAUACCACUUAUCAGCUGAGGAAGAUUGGCACAGGUGUUAGCUCAGGGCAAAUCUUCGUCAAGCUAAAAGAGGAGGAUUGGGAACAGAUGUUAGCUCAAGGCGAAUCUUCCUCAGCAAAAAAAAAUGUCUUUCACAUGGAAAACAGUCCUACUUCCGGAAUGUUUUUGAACAACAAAGGGGGAAGUACCAGAAUGGUCAUCACAGAGUUAUUUGCAAUAGCAAUAAGUUGAAAACACCAUAAUGUCCACUCAUUGAGGGAUGCUGAAAUAAACUGUGGUGUCCACAUGCAACUGGCUUCUGUGCAGCCAUGAUGAAGAAUGUCACAGAACAGCGUUUCUCACCUGAUGUUCCCCAGACCCAAGCCUCAAGAGGAUCCCUCAAGGGAUUUGACAGUGAAGUGUGUUUAGGAAACGCCAGUCUCCUCUCGAUGAUUCAGAACUCGAGUUCGCAAAUUAAAGACUCUGAGAAGUCCUCCAGGAAGGAAGCCCAUUUAAGUUGGCAUAAGCCACUGCGUCCCAAGCAGCUGGGGAAGGACUCCCCUAUUAAUAGCAAAAUGGCCCUGGUGCUCUGAGGGACCAGUCUGGGAAACACUGGUAUGGCAGCCUCAUGUAGACAGAGCUGAGCAGGGCCAGCCGGUGGCCGAGUGGUUAAGUUCGAGAGCUCUGCUUUGCCAGCCCGGGGUUUCCCAGUUUGGAUCCUGGGGGCAGAUGUGGCACUGCUCAUCAGGCCAUGCUGAGGCCGCAUCCCACAUGGCACAACCAGAGGCACUCACAACUAGAUUAUACAACUAUGCACUGGGGGGUUUUGGGGAGAAGUAAAGAAAAAAAAGAUUGGCAACAGAUGUUAGCUCAGGUGCCAAUCUUAAAAAAAAAACUGAGCAAAACACGCAGGAUCUGAGAGUCUCUGCAGCAUGAUUUAAACAAACAAUAAACUUCCGUAUAUGUUUGUGUUUGAAAAAAGUCUGGCAGGAUGCAUCCCAGAACUUUAAUGGUGUUUGGGGUGUUGGGAUUACAGGUGACUUUUAUUUCCAUCUUUCCUUGUUUUCUUUGUUUAGCUUAUUUGGGUUUUCUAAACUGCCUUUCAUCACUGUGUACAAUUUUCAUAAUUGGUCAAAAAAGAAAAAGAAACAACUGUUAGGAAAGAAUGGAGGGACAGCUGAAGGCGUAUCCGCAGCUCUACCGCACCUAGAGGAGCAGGGCCUCCAGCCCGAGGAGCGGCCAGGCCCUUAUUUAGGCAGAGACGUCCCGAGCUCGCAUUCCAGUGGGAAUCCUCCCCGGCGCAUUCCUCCUGCAGCGCCGCCUCCUCCAGCUGCAGCCGCUCCCUCCUCCCAGGGCCUCCCUCUCCUUUGGUAGCCGCCGCGGCCGAGCCAGACUGCGCAUCUGGACCUCAUUAGGGGCCGCCAGCACCAAAGCCGACACAUCUGGCCGCCGCGAGGCGAGUGCGCGGCAGGGCAGCGGAGGGGAAGGGGCACGUCAGGACAGGGCCGCCCGGCGCGCGCCGAGGCAUCUGGAAGUGGGAAGGCGGUGGGCAGCUGGCCGCAGACACUGCGCUGCCGGCUGGGCUGGCCCUGGCCUGGGAGCCCAGUGGCAUAGUGCCCUUGCUGGCAGGGGAGCCUGCGGCCCCCAGAGGCCUCCCACGCUGGGGGGGCGGGCAGGCCCGGGGAAAGGCAGGGACUCUGGACUCCAUGCACAGUGCUCGUGAUCUCAGUGAGGCGUGACGCUGGCUCCUGUGGGCCUGUCAGGAUGGGGAGCAGAGGGCAGCGCCGGGACCCGCUGCAAAGAAGGAAUGGCCAGUAACGGGGAUUGCCUCGGCUUGUUGUGGCCAAGCCUUACGGUGGUGGAACUUUGGGGCGCAGGUCAGAGGCUGUCUUCUCCAUCAGGUCAGAGUCCUCCUGUUUGAAAUGAGAAGGAGGGAGGUGCAGUGAGGCCUGUUGUAAACAGAGUGUCCUUGCUGCCUCUUCCUCACACCGGGAGAGCCCAAGUCCCUGCCUCUACCCCUGGGGUGCCAUUAUUUGUCCCCUUUGGGCCGGCACAUCUAAGGCUUCAGCAGCCCUGCUGAUUGUUUCCUUGAGACAGCUGCAGAUGCUCCUGAGAUCCUUUCCAAAGCAAGGCAGAGAUCAAAGAAAGAGCCCGUCAAUAAAACGUCAGGCCUAGCAGCUCAGCCCUGCCCCUCCCCUUGGUCCCGGGGCCUUAGUCCUUGCCUGGCUCCCACCUGGACGGUCCCAUUAUCACAGCAACCCACAGAUUCCCGUGCCUCUGCUCUCCAUCUCCCCGCCUCGUCCCCACCCACCGCAGCGAGCAGCUGACCAAUGGGCGCACAUGCCUGCACUAGCACCCUCGGAAGAAUUCCCAGAAGGAUCCAGUAGGUGCUAGUUCAAGUAGAAGCUCAGGAGCCCACCGAAGGCUCAAGGCUUUGAACCAAACGGAUAGGGUCCAAAAUCCCACUCUUACCCCUCUGAACACCAAUUUCCUCAUCUAUGAGAUGAGGGUUUAUAGAAAAAUCGCAGAGAUCGUACAGAGAGUUCCAGCAAACCUUUCAUCCAACUUCUCCCGAGGUUAACAUCUUGCAUAACCAGGUACAUUUGCCGAAACUAAGGAAUUCACAUUGGCACGCUACUAUCAGCUAAACCACAGACUUUAUUCAGAUUUUGCCAGUUUUCCCAAAACAUAUAUAAUUAAAAAUUUUCUACUAGGUACAUUAAAAAAAUAAAAAGAAACAUAAACUUAAUUUUAAUAAUAUAUUUUAUUUAACUCAAUAUAUCCAAAAUAUUUUCAUCUCAGCAUUAAUCAAUAUAAAAGACAUUGUGAAUGAGAUAUUUUACAUUUUUUUAUACCGAAUCUUUGAAAUCAGUGUGAAUUUUUCACUCACAGUCAUCUCCAUUUGGACUCUAAAUUAUCACCAGAAAUACUUGAUCUGUAGUUAGAUUUCCACAAAAUUUACAGGUGAAAUAGUAGACUCACACACCCAAGUUGUUCCAGACAUACUUAAAAAUUUUCCAGGGGCUGGCCCUGUGGCCGAAUGGUUGAGUUGGAGCGCUCUGCUUCGGCGGCCCAGGGUUUCACUGGUUUGGAUCCUGGGUGCAGACCUAGCACUGCUCAACAAGCCAUGCUGAGGUGGCGUCCCACAUAACACAACCAGAAGGACCUACAACUAGAAUAUAUAGUUAUGUACUGGGGGACUUUGGGAAGAAGAAGGGAAAAAAAGAGAGUAAGAUCAAUUGAUGUUUUUUAAAAAAAGUUUUCCAAUAACUGAAUUGAGUAUCAAAGGUUUUUAAAAAUUUAUUUUGUAUUUUAUUUAUUUAUUUAUUUUUUUGAUGAGGAAGAUUGGCCCUGAGCUAAUAUCCGUUGCCAAUCCUCCUCUUUUUGCUUGAAGAAGAUUGUCGCUGAGCUAAUGUCUGCACCAGUCUUCCUCUAUUUUGUAUGUGAGAUGCUGCCACAGCGUGACUUGAGUGGUGUGUACGUCCGUGCCCGGGAUCCGAACCCAUGAACCCUGGGCUGCCAAAGCAGAGCAUGCAAACUUAAUCACUAUACCAUGGGGACGGCCCUGAGUAUCAGGUUUUAAAUUCAAAAUUAAAUUAAAUUGAAAAUUUAGUUCCUUGGUUGCAGUUAGCCACUUUCCAAGUGCUCAACAGCCGCAUGUGACCAGCAGCUAUAAUAUCGGACAGCUCGGAUUCAAGGAUUAAAUGAGAUAAUGUGUGAAGAACAGUGCCUAGCACACAGUAGGUAUUCAGUAAAGGGUGUCUGUUGUCAUUAUUAAGGCAUAGAGUUGCUGUCGGUAAAAUCCAGUUUCCAAUCACAUUGUCGAGACUUUUGUGCCCAUCAAGUGCCAGGUGUAAUGAGAGAUAUUGGUCUGGGAAGAGAAAACAAGGAGGAGGGAGCCCAUACUUCUUUAGCCCAUGUGCUCGGCUCCCAGUACACCCCCCCUUCACCCUCUCUUGCAUGCAGGUCCUCUGACUGUCUUCAGAGCAGGUACUGUUACCUCUGCUCACAGAUGAGCAAGUUGAACAACAAACCGAGUUGAAGCAAGAGAGAGGGGGAGCCCCGAGUUCCCACCCAGCCACUCCUUGUCUCAUUCUGAGGUCCGGGUGCUCUUUUCCCUCUCUGGGCCUCAGUUUCCCCAAGUGAGUUAGGUAAAUGAGAGAGAGGUUGUUUUAGGUUACUGGGUCCAUCAAGACAUUUUAGAACUAUUUGAAUAGGGGCCGUUUGGCUGGCCCACACUUCUCAAAAUUCCCCUAGUGCUGAUUUGUAGCUAAGUAAAUAGAAGGAGAACUUAUUUUUUGAUUCAUAGUGAGGGCAGGGGAGACUGGCCGUGUAGUUCAUGAUCUUUGCGUUCACAGGUUGGGACACCCUCUCCCGGUCUCAAGGCGCCUAGGAAACCUAAUUAAUGAUGGAAUUAUGGAGCGCCGCUUGUGCUAAUAUAGAAUCAGGGCCGAGGGAGUUAGGCGUCUCAGGGGAUAUUUAUAACGAGCUGUGGCGGUCUGGUGAGUCACUGCUCUGCUCUCCAAGAGGACACACCUGCCUCCCAGGAGGAGAGGCUGUCGCUUGCUUCCCUGGCUGGGCUGGAGACACACACACUAUUGGGGAACCGGCCCUCCUGCCCUGGGCUCCCUUGGAUACUGAUCAAUACAACUCCCCCGCCCGCAUUUCAGCAGAAUUUCCCAACAGCCUCCCACUUCCCAGACUCGGGCCGCACCGUCCACUGAUGAUGCUGCAGACUGGCUGCACCCUGGGAACGUCUCCUUCCAGAGGGAUUCUUUCUGGGAAGGUUUUCUACGGUCAAGCCCGGCUGUGCAGCCAGGCUCUUGAGCAGCCUCCAUCAGGGGCCAAUUCUUCCGGGACGAAGAGAGGCAAAGGCCAGAGACGAGAGAGGACAUUGAGCCCCUUCUCUGUGCCAAGCCCUGGGCAGGGCACUUGGCGUCCCUUAGCUCACUAAAGUGUCACAGUAAACUGUAUUUCAUCACCCUCAUUUUACAGACAGAGAAACUGAGACUCAGGGAAAAGCAGCUAGCAAGGAGCAUGUAGCUAGAAAAUUCUACAGCCAGGGUUCCAAUCCAGCCUGUCUGUCUCUGAAGCUCUUAUUUUCAUAAGAUCAUCUCAAGCUAUCAGAGUAGUGGUACAAAGCACUUUCAUAUACAUAUAUCUUGCAUAACCCUCAAAAUAUUGAGGGCAGGGCCAAACAAACAAAGAGGCAUAAUCUCCAAACUAGCAGAGGGAAACAUUCAAUGGGGAAAAAAUAGUAAAUUCAAAAGAAGGGGAAAAUAGAGGAGAGAAAAAGGAACAUAGAACAGAUAGAACGAAUAAAAAGCACAGAGUAGAUUCAGUCCCAAAUAUAUUCAUAAUUACGUUAAAUAUAGAUGGACUAAAUGGUCCUGUUAAAAGAUAAAGUUUGUCAGAGUGGAUAGAGAACAAAUCCCGACUUGGGUUUGCAAGAGCCAUGUACAUCCACGACAUAUUGGGGGUUCAGGAAGGUUAAGGGCAGAGCCAAAGUCUGAACCAGGGGUCUCUGAGGCAGCAGGACAUGCUGUCUCGCCCAGAUCUCAGCCCUCCAACUUGUCCCUUUCACACCUUGGCCUCAGUCGUCCAGUGAGCAUGCGGUUUGAUGGAAGGCGCUCAGGCACUGGUGUUAAAUGAACCAACCUUGCAACCCUGGACUUUCUAAGGUGACCUGAGCCUCAAUGUCCUCCUCUGUAAAAUGGAACAAUAGUUCAUACUUUAUGGGGCUGCAGUAAGAGUUAGAGGCAUGUUCAAGGCACCCAGCACGAAGUAGAACUCUUAUGUUUGUUUUUGUUAAUAGUAUGAUAAUUCUAUGUGUGCCUAUGUAAUCAAUGAGACCCUAUGGGCUGUCCCUGGCUUCCUGAGAGAGUAUUAAAACCUUUUCCCGUGUGUUUUUGGUGAGGGCCAAGCACGGUGGGCAGGGAUUGGGGGUGAGGUCACUGUUCCUUCCAGGCUGGGAAAUUUGAGUCGGGUCAUGGGGUGACUCCAGGAUGCCCUCUUCCUGUUUGUUUGCAAGCCUGACCCAUCUGUCACUCUGUCUUUGAUUAAGUCACACUCCUGCUCAGGCCCUAACCUUGGAGACUUCCUACCAUCCAUGUGUCAGUUUCCCUCCUGUCUCCAAGGCCCUUGAUGGCUUGCUUUCUGCCCACUCCUUCCGUCUGUGGACUCACCCCUGCAGGCAAACAACCUCUCAGCCCUGCCCCCGUACAGGACACCCCUCCACUCCCAGCACCCCCAUAUCCUCCCAGCCCCCCUGCCCCCACUCCAAGCCUGGCAGACUCUCCCCACUGUCCCCACCAGGGCUGCCCCUGCCCCUCUGUCAUCCAAGUUCACACCCCCUUAUCUGCAAUUCUGAAAGCUCUAAAAACCAGAGUUUUGAAAAUAAGUUUGAUAUAAACUGAUUUGACCGCAGAUCUGGUCUGCCCUGAUGCGAGGGUCUUUCAAGUCUUUAUUGUGUCUCUUACCGCUCAGACGUUUUUACUUGGCUGUGCUUCCUUAAGGGUGCUGCCCCCGGACCCUGCUGGGGUGUUACGUCGUGUCAGUGAGGGUAUCACGUGACCCUUCUGAACCCUCAGUGGCUCUGAAAAUGCGCUUUUGAGCCCAGGGCCUCCGUGAGGGGCAGUGGGUCUGCAGUAGGGACAGCCCGAGGGCUUGCCCCGUGCAGGCGCUUUCUGUACUUAGCUCUCGUCCCAGUCAGCCCUGUAACGUGGGCCUUAGCCCCUGCAUUUCAGAAGUAAGGAUGCCGAGGGCCAAGGUUGCACAGCUGGGAGAAGGGCUGAGCCGAGGCCUUCUGAUGCCCAGCCUCCCACACUCUCUCCCCUUUGCACCAGUUUCUCUCCUUGCCUUGCGAGCUAGCCCCCAGCUCCCCCUUCUCUGUCCUUCCGUCGCUCCUGGGGCUUCUGUGUACAAUAAUGCCUAGUUUUGUUCACUCAGCAGUAUUCAGUGAGGGCUUCUCACGCUCUAAUGUGCACACAAAAUCUUAAGAUGCUGCUUCUGAUUUAACAGGUCCGGGUGUGACCUCCUGCAUUCCUAACAAGUUCCCGGUUGCUGUUGGACCCCACUUUGAGGAGUAAGGGGCUAGGGGACAGGUGGGAAUACAGAGUUGAAUAAGACUCAACCCCUGCUGUCAUCACUCAUGUAUGCAAGCUCUCUAUGUACCUGAUGCGGAGGUGGGUACUAUUAGUAUCCUCAUUUGACACAUGAGGAAACAAACACAGAGAGGUUAAGUAACUUGCCCAAGGGCACACAGCUCAGAAGUGGCAGAGCUGGGAUUUGAACCUGAUGAGCCUGGCUGCAGAGUUCACGCUGUUAACUACUCCACACUACACAAAUUGGAGAGAUGGACCUGUCGGUGCAGUGCGAUGAGACAAUCAUGGCAGGCAGGACUGGCAAUCCUGGAGCACUCAGAGGAGGGCUGGGCUCCUUUGUAGCACAUGGUGGAUUUUCAGAAUAAAUGGAAUGCUCCCCUCGAAACACCCCACGUGGUUUUCUUUAGAAGCUCUUUCUGAAAUCAAUUGUACAUCUUCCUGCUAUAUGUAAUUUAACGUUUUCUUGAUAACUCAAGGCCCCUAUUUUUCUUUUUUUUUUUGAGAAAGAUUAGCACUGAGCUAACAUUCGCCACCAAUCCUCCUCUUUUUGUGCUGAGGAAGAUUGGCCCUGAGCUAACAUCUGUGCCCAUCUUCCUCUACUUUAUAUGUGGGACACCUGCCAUAGCAUAGCUUGAUGAGCAGUGCAUACGUCCGCACCCGGGAUCCUAACUGGUGGACCCUGGGCUGCCAAAAUGGAAUGUGUGAACUUAACCACUGCACCACCGGGCUGGCCCCUCAAGGCCACUAUUAUGAAUCCUGAUAUUUGGAACUAUCCUAAGACCUUAAUUCUCAAGCCCUCAGCUCUCAGUUUCUCAGAGCUGUUCGUAUGCAUGCUUCCAAUAAACUGUGGGCUGGAAACCAAGCGACCGACCUCAUUAGAACUGUGUGUAAAGUAAGGGUACAUAGGAGCAGAGAGAGGCUAGAGCAGUUACUUAAGAUGAGCAGGCUUCAGCUUUUGUGCAUGGAAUUUACAAGAUUCAGUGGUUGCUCAUUUACAUAUUUUUAUUAUUUCCUGGUUCAUGGCCGUGUUUUUGAGAGUUGAGGGGGCUGGAUAGGCAUCUUGUAUAUCUGAUUUUCAAACUGGAAUGUGAUCAGACUCCCAGGGGAAUGUUUCAAAGCCACCCAGAGUCCUAUUCUAUCCUCUGAGGUGGGAUGCGGGCCUCUGCAUUUUGAAAAACUGCAUUUGGAACCAUCAGCAUUUAUUGAUCACCUACUGUAUGCUCACAAGCGCUGGGCACUAUGGACAAGAGAACCUGUGAGCCUAGUCUUCAUGCAUUACAACAUUGAGUUGAGUAGACAAGUUGCAACACAUGAGGCCAACUAAGGCUAGUUCACCUUUGAACAGAGAGGGCUAGUGACAGCAGUACUGUGGCACAGUGAGGACAUCUGUGAGGAGGAAGGGGGGGCCACUUGGUGUGGUGAGAGCAUCCUGGAUGUGGGGUCAGCAAACCUGGCUCUGAGUUUCUGCUCCUGGACCUGCCAGCAGACUCGUAUCCUCUCUGAACAUCAGUUUCCUCAUCUGUAAAAUAGGGAUAAGCCGCUCUCCCUCCCAGGGUUGUGGUGAUGAGAGAAUGCCUGGGGAAGCACCAUGUAAGCUGUAAAGAGCAGUGCAUGCGUGUGCUGUGAGACUGCUGCAGGCUACAGGAGACCAACCCACUCUGGUUACUUCCAGAGAUGAGGCUUCCUUGUAAGGCUGUGCAGGGAAUGUAAGGACCUUGGGGGGUCUCAGAGAGAGAGCAGCCCUCCGGGACAACUGGAUGCUUGUUCUGAGUCCUUGGAUGCUCACACCAAACCCGAUUACGGGCGCUCUCCGCCUGAUGUCCUCUGUUGCCUCUUGGCUUCCACCUCCUGGCUCCUGCCUACUACCUUCUCCUCAUGUGGCCCUCACCUCCUGCCCACUUAAUGGUCCUCUGGUUUUCAAGCAUCCCUGGGACAGAGAGCUGGCUUGGUGAACCACUGUCCAAUGCCGAAGGUCCCCACUGGGCAGAGUUUUAAUGCUGGGCUGCCCUCCUACACGCUUCUCCUGCAUAUCCAGCCUGUAAAUGGCUGCCUUUGUGUCAGGCCAAACCUUGGCCCAGGCGGCUGCAGCCAGGGUGUGGGCUCCUACGCGCCGGCAGCGCAAGGUUGCGCCCGUGGGGGCUGUGGGUGUGGCUCGCCCUCACAGGGAGCAGCGCGAACUGCCCAUCACAGAAUGUGAGCUAUUUUUAUAGAGGGAGGAUGGCACUAAGGCAGUUAAUCUGGCCAGCAAACAGCAUCUGCCUGUCAUGUCUCAUGUGCCAUUCAAUGAGGGCCAGCCGCAGGCCACGUUGUGCAAGCUGGGCAGGUAGGGGUGCCCUCAGUCUCCACGUUCUGUAGUUUCCCUGGUGGAUGACUCUCUUCUCAAUGGCCCCCGCCCCUAGAUGGGGAUGUUUCUGUGUCUGCUCCCCAACCCCAUAAUUCAAACCUGCCUGCAGCAUUUCUGCAAGAGGAUGUUCAUUGCAGCAUUGAAUAUAGGAGAGAAAAAUUAGAACCAACUCAAAUGUCCAUCGGUGGAGGGACUAGUUACUCCCAAUAUACUUGAGUAUAUUUAUGUGACAGUGUGCAUGUAUGCAUUAAGAC
ensembl:lncRNA